GGUCCAUUGGAGCAGUGGUUUAUCUCGCCUCCCUGUCACGGAGGAGAUCAUCGGUUCAAAUCCGAUAUGGACCGCUA
rnacentral:tRNA from 1 species